rnacentral:rRNA from 1 species
GAGUUUGAACCUGGCUCAGGAUGAACGCUGGCGGCGUGCUUAACACAUGCAAGUCGAACGGAGAUAACAUUUUCGAAGCGAUUAGUUUACUAAGAGCGGAGAUGUUGCUAUCUUAGUGGCGGACGGGUGAGUAACGCGUGGGUAACCUGCCUUACACUGGGGGAUAACAUUUAGAAAUAGGUGCUAAUACCGCAUAACAGAGGGAGUCGCAUGACUUCGUCUUAAAAACUCCGGUGGUGUAAGAUGGACCCGCGUCUGAUUAGCUUGUUGGCGGGGUAACGGCCCACCAAGGCGACGAUCAGUAGCCGGCCUGAGAGGGUGAACGGCCACAUUGGGACUGAGACACGGCCCAAACUCCUACGGGAGGCAGCAGUGGGGAAUAUUGGACAAUGGGGGGAACCCUGAUCCAGCGACGCCGCGUGAGUGAAGAAGCAUUUCGGUAUGUAAAGCUCUAUCAGCAGGGAAGAAAGAAAUGACGGUACCUGACUAAGAAGCCCCGGCUAACUACGUGCCAGCAGCCGCGGUAAUACGUAGGGGGCAAGCGUUAUCCGGAUUUACUGGGUGUAAAGGGAGCGUAGACGGCGAUGCAAGUCUGAAGUGAAAGGCGGGGGCCCAACCCCUGGACUGCUUUGGAAACUGUAUGGCUGGAGUGCAGGAGAGGUAAGUGGAAUUCCUAGUGUAGCGGUGAAAUGCGUAGAUAUUAGGAGGAACACCAGUGGCGAAGGCGGCUUACUGGA